UUGAGUCUAACCGAUCUACUAACCCGAAUAGCAAAAGAAUCGGGCUGGAUUAUCCAAAUACCUCAAUUUCCCCCCCAAAGCCAAACCCUAACAAAUUGGAUCAAACUUUUACCUUAAAUCACAUACCCUAGCUAAAAUUCUUACAUUUUUACUAUCUCCCUUCUUUCUGUUUUUUUUUUUUGUUUUUGUACUACUGAAGCUGGUAAAAGGAAGAAACUUUACAAUUCUUGUGUUUUACCUAGGCUUGAACUGGAGAAAUGUUGAUGGGACAUGCAGAAGGGGUUCCAAAACUAGGUUCGUCGACAAAUUUACUUCUUUCUGAUCCUGAAUCAGAGUCGGACGGAGACGAAGAAGCUGAUACUCCUGAGAAAAUACUAUACAUGGCUUCUUUUGAUGAACUUGGAGCGAAAAGUGUUCAGUAUGACACUAUAAUAUGGUUUUCUAUAUCGUUGCUGCUGGUUUUAGCUUGGGGGGUUGGAAUAAUUAUGUUACUCUAUCUACCCAUUCGAAGAUAUGUGCUUAAAAAGGAUAUUUCGUCACGCAAACUUUACGUUACUCCAGAUGAAAUUGUUUACAAGGUCUCAAGACCUUCAUUUAUACCGUUUUGGGGAGACAUAAAAGUUGAAAAGCACGUUCCUCUUCCUUUAGUGAUAGAUAUCAUUAUUGAGCAAGGCUGCUUGCAGGCAAUGUUUGGACUACACACCUUCAGAGUUGAAAGUAUAGCUUGUGGAAAAGCUGCACCAGUUGAUGAACUACAGGUGCAAGGUGUACAUAAUCCUGGACUCCUAAGGAAGGUCAUCGUAACUGAAGCAUCAAAGGUCAUACAUGUUGGAAGGAGUUGGAGACCUGUGGUUCAAGGUGGUGAUGGUGACAGUAUUGCUCGUACGGAGACUUUAACUGGGCUCAAGCUGUUUUGAGAUCACCAUCUACAACUUCAAGGCUGACAGGCUCUCCACCCCAUGCUUCACCGGAUCACAGGAGUUUUGUACCUUCUGAUCUUCUGUUUCAUAAGCUUGAAGAAGUUAAUAAAUCAGUGAAGCAAAUUGAGUUUCUUAUCGAGAAGUCCCCAGCCGUUAACGGCGUUGAUAUAUGCGUGUGACUUCGCGUCUACAACAUGAGCGCGUAAAUGAACCAGAAAAAGUUGCUUACCUAGAAACUCUCAAGCAACCCAGGAAACAGCUAUUGGUGGUCGAUUUGUGGCUUAUUGGCUUUUCUUCGUAAGAGUUAUGUAACCAGAAAAAAAAAGUGGCAUGCAACUCUAAAAAGCAGCUAAUAGGAUAUCUAUGCCUCAUUGCCUUUGAGCCAUAAGAUGUCACCUUCUGCAGUGCAAAUUAACUGGUUUAAGCCAUUGGGUGUGUGGUCUUCCCGACGGUUUUGAGCUAUGUAUAUAUCUAGUGGGACAUUUGAAACAUGAGCCUAAAUCAAAGUUUUUGGUUCAUUUCGUUGUAUUUGCAGAGAAUAAUAUGAAUUAGAGGCCAAAAAGAGCCUUUUAGUUAGCAUGUCCAAUUUUGAGAUGCAUGGUUUUUCCCUCUUGUCACACUUUUCCUAGGUCAAAGAUUAUCUAUUGUCAUUACUCACCAGUCAACUUAUGUUGCAUGCCUUCUUUGUACAACAGUGUAUUGAUUUUUAACAUC